CUCUGAGCAAAGAAACUCCGGAACCCUCCUUUCCACUUCUGCUUCUGGGAUCUUCUUCCCGGGCUGCCACCCCGUCAGAGGCGUGCAGGUAAUGAAAGUUGGCAAAUUGCAGUUGCAUCAAGGCAUGUUCCCGCAGGCGAUGAAGAACCUGAGGCUGGCGUUCGAUAUCAUGAGAGUGACGCACGGCCGGGAGCACAGGCUGAUUGAAGACCUGAUUCUGCUCUUGGAAGAGUGCGACGCCAACAUCAGAGCAUCCUGAGGGCCCGCAGGAAGGACGCUCCUGCCGCCGCCUUCCCGCACCGCACGCUCCGCACGCCUGCUGUGCGGCCCUCCCCGCCGGCAAUGCUCGCCGUGUGUGUAGGUAAACAGGGCCGACACGCGGUGUGCGGGCCACACGCAUCAGUAGCCGUAGAGAAGCACGAUUAUAAUAAACACAAGAAACUUGGUUGAAAAUGC